GGAUGUGAGGGGGAUCUGGCUGUAACAUCUGUCACCCCAUUGAUCGCCAGGGUUGAUUCAGCUGAUCUGGCUGGCUAAGCGGGUGUCCCCUUCCUCCCUCACCGCUCCAUGUGCGUCCCUCCUGAAGCUGCAUGCUCGGUCAAAGAGGAUGACCAUCCCUGAUAGAGGAGGACUGGUCUUUGAUCAAGGAAUAUGAGUAGCUGUGCUCCCCUGCUAGAAUCUCCAAACAAGUUCUCAAGAGGUAUCUCGUUUAUUUAAUUUUUGUCAUAAGACUGCAGCAAUUCAGUCACAUCAGCAGGCUCACUUCUAAUUCUCAUACUCUUGCUGUUUUCACCACAUU
rnacentral:snRNA from 10 species